ACGGUGGGCACUAGUUGUGGGAACCUUCCACGGUUUCUGCGACGCAGCUAACGCAUUAAGUGCCCCGCCUGGGGAGUACGAUCGCAAGAUUAAAACUCAAAGGAAUUUGACGGGGCCCCGCACAAGCAGCGGAGCAUGCGGCUUAAUUCGACGCAACGCGAAGAACCUUACCAAGGCUUGACAUAUAGGGAAAAGUGGCAGAGAUGUCAUGUCCGCAAGGGCUCUACACAGGUGGUGCAUGGUUGUCGUCAGCUCGUGUCGUGAGAUGUUGGGUUAAGUCCCGCAACGAGCGCAACCCUCGUUCUGUGUUGCCAGCAUUUAGUUGGGGACUCACAGGAGACUGCCGGGGUUAACUCGGAGGAAGGUGGGGAUGACGUCAAAUCAUCAUGCCCCUUAUGUCUUGGGCUGCACGCAUGCUACAAUGGCCGGUACAGAGGGCUGCAAUACCGUAAGGUGGAGCGAAUCCCAAAAAGCCGGUCUCAGUUCGGAUUGAGGUCUGCAACUCGACCUCAUGAAGUUGGAGUUGCUAGUAAUCGUAGAUCAGCAUCGCUACGGUGAAUACGUUCCCGGGGCUUGUACACACCGCCCGUCACGUC
rnacentral:rRNA from 1 species